rnacentral:rRNA from 1 species
UUGACCUCAAAUCAGGCGGGACUACCCGCUGAACUUAAGCAUAUCAAUAAGCGGAGGAAAAGAAACUAACAAGGAUUCCCCUAGUAACUGCGAGUGAAGCGGGAUGAGCUCAAAUUUAAAAUCUGGCGUCUUCGGCGUCCGAGUUGUAAUUUAGAGAAGCGUUUUCCGCGCAGGACCGUGUACAAGUCUCCUGGAACGGAGCGUCAUAGAGGGUGAGAAUCCCGUCUUUGACACGGACCCCCUGUGCUCUGUGAUACGCUCUCGAAGAGUCGAGUUGUUUGGGAAUGCAGCUCAAAAUGGGUGGUGAACUCCAUCUAAAGCUAAAUAUUGGCGAGAGACCGAUAGCGAACAAGUACCGUGAGGGAAAGAUGAAAAGCACUUUGGAAAGAGAGUGAAACAGUACGUGAAAUUGUUGAAAGGGAAACGCUUGAAGUCAGUCGCGUCCGCCGGGAUUCAGCCGCAAGGUGUACUUUCCGGUGGACGGGCCAGCAUCACUUUCGAUCAUCGGAAAAGGGCGAGUGGAAUGUGGCACCUCCGGGUGUGUUAUAGCCUCUCGUCGUAUACGGUGACCGGGAGUGAGGACCGCCUUUUGUAGGAUGCUGGCGUAAUGGCUUUAAACGACCCGUCUUGAAACACGGACCAAGGAGUCUAACAUGCCCGCGAGUGUUCGGGUGGAAAACCCGUGCGCGUAAUGAAAGUGAAAGUUGGGAAGGCUGUCGCGGCCUGCACCGACGCCCGGACUUGAGAUUCAUCGAAGGUUCUGCGG